CAUUAUUUUAAUUAAGGGUCUCAUUUUGUUGCCCAGGGGCCAGUCUUGAACUCCUGGAUUCAACAGAUUCUUCCACCUGAGCCUCCCAAAGUGUUGAGAUUGCAGGUGUGAGACACUAUACCUGGCCCAAGUGUCAUACUCUCUACUGUCAUUUCCAAAUGCUCAGGAAGAAGAGGGAAACCUCAAAACACCUAGUAGAAUGAAUAUAACAAAAUACUGUCCAUGCCUGGAACCUGAAUCCCACUUCCAGAUGCAGUCUGUCAGCCAAGGGCACUCCAGAUGUGGCAGUAGGAAGAAGAUGUAACAACUGAGGUAGAGUUCGUCCAAGCUCACCCAAGUAGUGUCGGGUCCAAGUGAAAAAUCUGAAGCAGUGCUUCCCAGAUGUUAAAGUGCACACAUAU
rnacentral:lncRNA from 13 species